UAGGGAAUCUUCGGCAAUGGGGGGAACCCUGACCGAGCAACGCUGCGUGAGUGAAGAAGGUUUUCGGAUCGUAAAGCUCUGUUGUUAAGGAAGAACGAGUGUGAGAAUGGAAAGUUCAUGCUGUGACGGUACUUAACCAGAAAGGGACGGCUAACUACGUGCCAGCAGCCGCGGUAAUACGUAGGUCCCGAGCGUUGUCCGGAUUUAUUGGGCGUAAAGCGAGCGCAGGCGGUUAGAAAAGUCUGAAGUGAAAGGCAGUGGCUCAACCAUUGUAGGCCUUGGAAACUGUUUAACUUGAGUGCAGAAGGGGAGAGUGGAAUUCCAUGUGUAGCGGUGAAAUGCGUAGAUAUAUGGAGGAACACCGGUGGCGAAAGCGGCUCUCUGGUCUGUAACUGACGCUGAGGCUCGAAAGCGUGGGUAGCAAACAGG
rnacentral:rRNA from 1 species